AUUGAACGCUGGCGGCAUGCCUUACACAUGCAAGUCGAACGGUAACAGGUCUUCGGAUGCUGACGAGUGGCGAACGGGUGAGUAAUGCAUCGGAACGUGCCCAGUUGUGGGGGAUAACUGCUCGAAAGAGCAGCUAAUACCGCAUACGACCUGAGGGUGAAAGCGGGGGAUCGCAAGACCUCGCGUCAUUGGAGCGGCCGAUGUCAGAUUAGGUAGUUGGUGGGGUAAAGGCCUACCAAGCCGACGAUCAGUAGUUGGUCUGAGAGGACGACCAGCCACACUGGGACUGAGACACGGCCCAGACUCCUACGGGAGGCAGCAGUGGGGAAUUUUGGACAAUGGGCGCAAGCCUGAUCCAGCAAUGCCGCGUGCAGGAAGAAGGCCUUCGGGUUGUAAACUGCUUUUGUCAGGGAAGAAAUCCUCUGGGUUAAUACCCCGGGGGGAUGACGGUACCUGAAGAAUAAGCACCGGCUAACUACGUGCCAGCCGCCGCAGUAA
rnacentral:rRNA from 1 species